ACUAAAGCUAGCCCAAACAACAACUAAACUUGUCCAAAUAUCAGACAACUUUAAACUAAAACAUUUAUCUAUUAAAGUAUAGGAGAUAGAAAUUUUAAUUUGGCGCUAUAGAGAAAGUACCGUAAGGGAAUGAGUGAAAGAAACAAUUAAAAGUACAAAACAGCAAAGAUUACCCCUUGUACCUUUCAAGAUUAACCCUUGUACCUUUUGCAUAAUGAUUUAACUAGAAAAGCUUUAGCAAAGAGAUCUUAAGUUAAAUACCCCGAAACCAGACGAGCUAUCCAUGAACAGCCAAAAUAGAGCGAACUCGUCUAUGUAGCAAAAUAGUGAGAAGAUUUAUGGAUAGAGGUGAAAAGCCUACCGAGCCUGGUGAUAGCUGGUUGUCCAGAUAAGAAUUUUAGUUCAACUUUAAAUUUACUACAAAAACCCAUAAUUAUCCCGUAAAUUUAACUGUUAAUCUAAAGGGGUACAGCCCUUUAGACCAAGGGUACAACCUUAAUUAGAGAGUAAAAUAUGUUAAUAACCAUAGUUGGCCUAAAAGCAGCCAUCAAUUAAGAAAGCGUUCAAGCUCAACAACAGCCUACUUCUUAAUCUAAUAAUUAUUUAUUAACUCCUAAUUUACCACUGGACCAAUCUAUUAAUUAAUAGAAGAAAUACUGUUAAUAUGAGUAACAAGAUUUAUAUCUCCCAGCACAAGCUUAUGUCAGACCGAAUAACAACUGAUAGUUAACAGCCAGAUAAAUAUAAAUUCAUAUAAAUUAUUUAUUAACUCACUGUUAAUCCAACACAGGUGUGCACUAAGGAAAGAUUAAAGAAAUAAAAGGAACUCGGCAAACACAAACCCCGCCUGUUUACCAAAAACAUCACCUCUAGCAUUACUAGUAUUAGAGGCACUGCCUGCCCAGUGACAACUGUUAAACGGCCGCGGUAUCCUGACCGUGCAAAGGUAGCAUAAUCAUUUGUUCCUUAAAUAGGGACUUGUAUGAAUGGCCACACGAGGGUUUAACUGUCUAUUAUUUAUAAUCAGUGAAAUUGACCUUUCCGUGAAGAGGCGGAAAUACUCUAAUAAGACGAGAAGACCCUAUGGAGCUUUAAUUGCCUUAACUCAACAGAAUAACACUUAACCCCACCAAGGGCUAACAAUUAUUCUAACUGGGUUAUAAAUUUCGGUUGGGGUGACCUCGGAGCAUAAAACAACCCCCGAGAAUUUUCUACUAAGACUAACAAGUCAAAGUAAAAUUUUACAAAUUGAUCCAGUCUUACUGAUCAACGGAACAAGUUACCCUAGGGAUAACAGCGCAAUCCUAUUCUAGAGUCCCUAUCGACAAUAGGGUUUACGACCUCGAUGUUGGAUCAGGACAUCCCAAUGGUGCAGCAGCUAUUAAUGGUUCGUUUGUUCAACGAUUAAAGUCCUACGUGAUCUGAGUUCAGACCGGAGUAAUCCAGGUCGGUUUCUAUCUAUUAAAUAUUUUUCCCAGUACGAAAGGACAAGAAAAAUAGGGCCUACUCCUAACGAGCGCCCUCAAGUAAAUAAAUGAUAUUAUCUUAAUUUAAUUAACUUAUUAUCAUAUCCUCCCCCUAGACCAAGGUUUC
rnacentral:rRNA from 1 species